GGACCCGCACAAGCGGUGGAUGAUGUGGUUUAAUUCGAUGCAACGCGAAAAACCUUACCCACCUUUGACAUGUACGGAAUCCUUUAGAGAUAGAGGAGUGCUCGAAAGAGAGCCGUAACACAGGUGCUGCAUGGCUGUCGUCAGCUCGUGUCGUGAGAUGUUGGGUUAAGUCCCGCAACGAGCGCAACCCUUGCCAUUAGUUGCUACAUUUAGUUGAGCACUCUAAUGGGACUGCCGGUGACAAACCGGAGGAAGGUGGGG
rnacentral:rRNA from 1 species